AAAUUCACAGUUUGGUUCGGAUAUAAGCAAGAACUAGCUAUUAUAGGGAUAUGUACAAGUAUGAGGAUAAAAAAAAUAACGUUUCGCUGAAAAUUGGGUUGUUCUCGGGAUAAGAAAAAUAGCGUUUGGAAAAAUAAUAUGGAAUAAGAAAAAUAGUAGAUAGUUAUAUAUAGAAAAUGGAGAUGCUGAUGAAGAUAGUUAUACCAGCUUAUUUUAGAUACUCGAGAACUACAAUUCUUAUUCCACCCGAUAAGGAGUUAUUCCACCCCUUAUCCCCAAUCCAAACGGCCCCAGGCGAAUUAGAAUUUUGUUUCGCUUUAUCCUAACAUGGACAAAAUAUUAUAAACAAAACUAGAACAAGACAAAAUAGUUCAAAAUAUGCCUUUUUAUUUAUUUAUUUAUUUUUUUGUUAAAUCAUCAGGGAAGGGACAUCUGAGGUUGCUUCUACCAAUUAGAUAGUACCUAACCACCAACCUAUAAAUAUUCGUUUUUUUAAAAAAAUCGAGUUCAAAAUAGCCCUUGUAAAAUUUUUUUUUAUUGGGAGAAAAUUUAUCAAUGGGACUUAUUAAGUUUUUUAAUUACUUUGAAAAGAAUAAUAAAUAAAAAAAUAAUGAUUUCAUAUUGAUUCCUACAAAGAUAUCAAAUAACCAAUAUAUCUCUAGAAAACUUAAGUUAUCAGAUUUAUUCCCUCAAAAAGUUUUUGAUUUGCAAAUAGAUAUCCCUCCAAAAGUUAUGAUUCAUUCAUGUAUGUCCAUAUAGUUUGAUUUACAGUUAAUUUUUUAAUGUUGGAUGCGUAAAAUGAUUAUUUUACAAAAUUUAUGUUGUGAUCGAGGGCCUCGCCUUCAGUAUCGCCGCCGCUAUAGGUCUCGUCGUUGUCAUAGAUAAAUAGAAAAAUGUGAGAAAAAUGGCGGGACUCAAUAUUAAAAUAAAAUUAUAUAUAUAUGGGGUAAAAAAGUCAUUUUAUCCCUUGGCUAACUGUGAUUAACUUUUUUAACUUAUGAUUAUCUAAAUUUCACAGGAAUAAAGAUAUAUUUGAAAGCAAAAGAACUUUUUUUUUUUAUUCUCCAGUAGUAUGUGAAAUAAUACCACGAAAGAUGUUUGUUCCAAUAUUUGUUAAUUUUUUAGUAUUUUUUUUAUUUUUUUGAGAAAAAUGUAGCACACUACCCGCUUCAUUCAUUCAGGAUAUGAACUUAGCUACAUGGGUGAGGCAACAAGACUUCUAAAGAAAUGAAAAGCCGGACAAAAAUGAAAAAAAUUAAAAAAAAAAAAUUAGUGUCUCUCCAU
rnacentral:lncRNA from 1 species